UUUUGAUUGUUGCUCAGAAGG
rnacentral:miRNA from 1 species